UGGCGUUUUUAAACCGGUCCAGACAUCGUCCUAAUCCGGCAACACAGCUUUAUCUUAGCAUAGGCGUUGUUAUGUAGUGUUAAAUAAAUUCGAAACUUUUCCUAAUUAUUUAAUGUGAUCUAGACUUGGGACUAUAUUCCGGCAAAGCACCGCUGCCAGGGGCAAAGACACCACGCAGCACCUGAAAACGCCCAACUUCCGUCAACACACCAGUUUGAGUGGCUCAGGUAUCACGACAGAGCUAUUCCAGAUGGAAUCAAAUCCACCCACACCUGCACCACUAAAGGUCACUAAAGAAGGCACUGGAUUUUGUAUGACGGCGAACUUUAGGUGACCCUAACAACAACUUAACUUUUUGGGGUGCAUUCACUGGCUCCGCUGUUGAUAUCUUCUCACCAAGUGCUGAUAGGGAAUUCGCUGCAUUGACGGUAUCAUACAAUCGGACACCUGGCUGAGUGAUUCAUCUGUCAUCUGGUGCCGUGGCUGUCAUUUGGCUGGCUGAGUGAAUCCAGCCCGGGAUGGAUUCUAUUCUUUUACUGCCAGGCGGCUUGAUGAUUAGUGCUAGGGCAGUGUGCACUCGGCAGCUCAGUGCAGUUUCCUGAUAAAGGGGUCAGACUCAGCCUCUUACCUACUGCCAACCCACCCUGCCACUUAAUAGUCUGUUUCCUGUCGGUCUGCUCCCGGAGAACAACAACAGGUCCCUCUCCCACCUUUUUUGUUUCGCCACGUCUUCCUCAGCGCUCCCAGUCAAGCAGAUCGCCUCGUGACGCUGCUCAUUGGAUGCAUCUCUGCACUGCUGCAAGAAAUAUUAAAAUUACUGAUUAAUCUCAGUCAACAUCAGAGCCAGAAAACCAACAAUACAGUCCGCCCGUAGCCAGGUCCCCAUCAUUGACUGCAAGGGGAUAUGAGACCACACAGAGAGGGCCAAGAGUUAGUUAAUUGGAUAUUAUAUUGAACAGAAGUACUUUAGAGCUGAAGGAGAAAAUAACUUUUGUUGGUAACGAUGCAAUUGCGGCUGCAUGGGGAGAUAAAAUGGAUGUGAUUCUCCCUUGAAAGAGGAGGUUUAUUGUGUCUAGAAUCUACUGAAAGGGAUUGAGAUUGGGAAAAAAGAUGGGGUUUUCAUCUCUUCACAAGACGAUUUACUACACUGAUAUAGUUUCUAAUCAGAUUUCACUGGUGGUUGAGAAGCUUUUUAACACCAGCUAUCUGAAAAAUCCAGCGCAGAGCGAAAGUCUCGGGCAAACGCAACAAAAAGUCCAAGUAUUAACGCGGCUGCUGCUCUGAAAAUUCACUGUUGCGUCAUCCCUUCAAGGAUCCUGUGUGCAAAAUAGUACAAUACUGAGGGUAGCAUUUCUGUUAUGUCUUAUAAAAAUCUCUCUGCAUCAAAUGAGCUUUUUUUCUUUUCUUGUUUCUCUUACAAAAGAAGCAAAGGGACGAAGGGCAGAGAGAAGAAAAAGAUAAGUCAGGAUUUAUUGACUGAGUGCCAACUUGUGUGGACUUUAAACAACGUCUUCAAGGCUUCCUCUUUAUUCUGAGCUAACUUGUUAUGACAUGCAAAUGAAGUUCAACACAGAGGAGCAACAAUUAGAUCCUGAUCAGUCGUGUCAUCCGCUGAGAACGCGUUGAAGUCACUGCAGCUCGCACCGAGGGCCGCUGUAGGGUCAGCAGUUGGAUACUUUUAAUCUUUUAUCCCUCACAUCUUUGUCAGAGUGACCUUGUACACCCACCAUGAAUUUCAUUACAUGCUUCUUUCCUUUGAAAUGACAAUGACAGUUGCUGUUAGUUUCCCAGAAGAAAGGAAAAAAAAACCUUUAGGCAUCAAUCACAGGCCAGGGAAUCCAUCAAUUUACACGCCCGUUUACCAAAGGAAAAAAAAAAUAUUACUUUCAGUUGUGCUUUGAGGUUCAAGGCUCAGCCAGAAUUCAGUCAAAUGUGACUCUUCUGAGAAUUCAUUUUAUUGUCUCGUUUUUAGUCACACAAGCCGUCUCAGUUCCAUUACCUUGGCUGACUUUUCAGAAUGCAUUGCUAAGCGUUAUCUGAGUCUGCCUCACAGUUGUUACUAAUUGAUGUUGCAGUCAGUCUAUUAUUUUAGUCUCCCAUGGCUGCUCAGAUAUCUGAUUACAUACAGUACACCCUGCAUUUAAUCAUCGAUGAAGCAGCCACGAAACCAAGUAUAAAAGCCAUCAAACCUAGCGUGUGCAGCCCAUCAAUAAUUUGGUUCGUCUGAGUUAUUUUCUAAUUGAAUGCUUAUUAUGAGCUAAUGCAUCAGAGAUUCAAAUGAAGACUCAAAAGAUUCCAUGGCAUUUGUAUUUCUAAUCUCUGAUUUCUUCACGCUACUUUUUGUUGUUU